rnacentral:rRNA from 1 species
UGCAAGUCGAGCGGUAGCACAGAGAGCUUGCUCUCGGGUGACGAGCGGCGGACGGGUGAGUAAUGUCUGGGAAACUGCCUGAUGGAGGGGGAUAACUACUGGAAACGGUAGCUAAUACCGCAUAAUGUCGCAAGACCAAAGUGGGGGACCUUCGGGCCUCAUGCCAUCAGAUGUGCCCAGAUGGGAUUAGCUAGUAGGUGGGGUAACGGCUCACCUAGGCGACGAUCCCUAGCUGGUCUGAGAGGAUGACCAGCCACACUGGAACUGAGACACGGUCCAGACUCCUACGGGAGGCAGCAGUGGGGAAUAUUGCACAAUGGGCGCAAGCCUGAUGCAGCCAUGCCGCGUGUGUGAAGAAGGCCUUCGGGUUGUAAAGCACUUUCAGCGGGGAGGAAGGCGAUAAGGUUAAUAACCUUGUCGAUUGACGUUACCCGCAGAAGAAGCACCGGCUAACUCCGUGCCAGCAGCCGCGGUAAUACGGAGGGUGCAAGCGUUAAUCGGAAUUACUGGGCGUAAAGCGCACGCAGGCGGUCUGUCAAGUCGGAUGUGAAAUCCCCGGGCUCAACCUGGGAACUGCAUUCGAAACUGGCAGGCUAGAGUCUUGUAGAGGGGGGUAGAAUUCCAGGUGUAGCGGUGAAAUGCGUAGAGAUCUGGAGGAAUACCGGUGGCGAAGGCGGCCCCCUGGACAAAGACUGACGCUCAGGUGCGAAAGCGUGGGGAGCAAACAGGAUUAGAUACCCUGGUAGUCCACGCCGUAAACGAUGUCGAUUUGGAGGUUGUGCCCUUGAGGCGUGGCUUCCGGAGCUAACGCGUUAAAUCGACCGCCUGGGGAGUACGGCCGCAAGGUUAAAACUCAAAUGAAUUGACGGGGGCCCGCACAAGCGGUGGAGCAUGUGGUUUAAUUCGAUGCAACGCGAAGAACCUUACCUGGUCUUGACAUCCACAGAACUUUCCAGAGAUGGAUUGGUGCCUUCGGGAACUGUGAGACAGGUGCUGCAUGGCUGUCGUCAGCUCGUGUUGUGAAAUGUUGGGUUAAGUCCCGCAACGAGCGCAACCCUUAUCCUUUGUUGCCAGCGGUUCGGCCGGGAACUCAAAGGAGACUGCCAGUGAUAAACUGGAGGAAGGUGGGGAUGACGUCAAGUCAUCAUGGCCCUUACGACCAGGGCUACACACGUGCUACAAUGGCAUAUACAAAGAGAAGCGACCUCGCGAGAGCAAGCGGACCUCAUAAAGUAUGUCGUAGUCCGGAUUGGAGUCUGCAACUCGACUCCAUGAAGUCGGAAUCGCUAGUAAUCGUAGAUCAGAAUGCUACGGUGAAUACGUUCCCGGGCCUUGUACACACCGCCCGUCACACCAUGGGAGUGGGUUGCAAAAGAAGUAGGUAGCUUAACCUUCGGGAGGGCGCUUA